rnacentral:rRNA from 1 species
AAUACGUUCCCGGGCCUUGUACACACCGCCCGUCAAGCCAUGGAAGCUGGAAGUGCCUGAAGUGCGUAACCGUAAGGAGCGUCCUAGGGUAAAGUCGGUAACUGGGGCUAAGUCGUAACAAGGUACCC